rnacentral:rRNA from 1 species
UUGAACGCUGGCGGCAUGCCUUACACAUGCAAGUCGAACGGUAACAGGUCUUUGGAUGCUGACGAGUGGCGAACGGGUGAGUAAUACAUCGGAACGUGCCCGAUCGUGGGGGAUAACGGAGCGAAAGCUUUGCUAAUACCGCAUACGAUCUACGGAUGAAAGCAGGGGACCGCAAGGCCUUGCGCGGACGGAGCGGCCGAUGGCAGAUUAGGUAGUUGGUGGGAUAAAAGCUUACCAAGCCGACGAUCUGUAGCUGGUCUGAGAGGACGACCAGCCACACUGGGACUGAGACACGGCCCAGACUCCUACGGGAGGCAGCAGUGGGGAAUUUUGGACAAUGGGCGAAAGCCUGAUCCAGCCAUGCCGCGUGCAGGAUGAAGGCCUUCGGGUUGUAAACUGCUUUUGUACGGAACGAAAAGACUCUUUCUAAUAAAGAGGGUCCAUGACGGUACCGUAAGAAUAAGCACCGGCUAACUACGUG